rnacentral:lncRNA from 1 species
AUUUCGAUCUCUGAAUCUGAUUUGGAAUAUUAGUUAGCAAAUAGAGGACAUUAGCUGCAUCUUUGGUUUGCAUAGCAGAUUUCUGGCAGUAAGGCGAAGUAUACUCGUUAGAAGUUCUCAUUUCUCUGUGUAAACAAACGUCCAUGCUAGCAUUUUACGGUUUCCUCACUUUCCUGGUGUUGUUGUCUUUGUUCUGUGUUUUGCUUGAAUAUUCUCUCAUGUCGAGAGUUUUCCACGAUCCAAAGACCUGCGAAGAUUGAAUAAGCUUCUGCGUUUGCUUCCUUCGGUAGCUUGGUUUCUUUUUGAAGCUUUUACUGGUUAGAGAUUUCCAAAGGACACUGCUGUUGUGAACUCCUUUGCAUCUUGAAUUCUGCCCUUAAUCGGUCUAAUAUUCCGUUCCCCUGCAUUUCGAUAUCUGAUUUGGAAU